rnacentral:rRNA from 1 species
UAAGCAUAUCAAUAAGCGGAGGAAAAGAAACCAACAGGGAUUGCCCUAGUAACGGCGAGUGAAGCGGCAACAGCUCAAAUUUGAAAUCUGGCGCAAGCCCGAGUUGUAAUUUGUAGAGGAUGCUUCUAGGUAGCGACCGGUCUAAGUUUCUUGGAACAGGACGUCAUAGAGGGUGAGAAUCCCGUAUGUGACCGGCCCGCACCUUCUACGUAGCUCCUUCGACGAGUCGAGUUGUUUGGGAAUGCAGCUCUAAAUGGGAGGUAAAUUUCUUCUAAAGCUAAAUACCGGCCAGAGACCGAUAGCGCACAAGUAGAGUGAUCGAAAGAUGAAAAGCACUUUGGAAAGAGAGUUAAAAAGCACGUGAAAUUGUUGAAAGGGAAGCGCUUACAACCAGACUUCUGGGCGGUGUUCCGCCGGUCUUCUGACCGGUCUACUCGCCGUCCCGAGGCCAACAUCAUCUGGGACCGCUGGAUAAGACCUUAGGAAUGUAGCUUCCCUCGGGAAGUGUUAUAGCCUCUGGUGAUGCAGCGCGUCUCGGGUGAGGUCCGCGCUUCGGCAAGGAUGUUGGCGUAAUGGUUGUCAGCGGCCCGUCUUGAAACACGGACCAAGGAGUCUAACAUCUAUGCGAGUGUUCGGGUGUCAAACCCCUACGCGUAAUGAAAGUGAACGGAGGUGGGAAGGGUAACCUGCACCAUCGACCGAUCCUGAUGUCCUCGGAUGGAUUUGAGUAAGAGCAUAGCUGUUGGGACCCGAAAGAUGGUGAACUAUGCCUGAAUAGGGUGAAGCCAGAGGAAACUCUGGUGGAGGCUCGCAGCGGUUCUGACGUGCAAAUCGAUCGUCAAAUUUGGGUAUAGGGGCGAAAGACUAAUCGAACCAU